rnacentral:rRNA from 1 species
UACGUAGGGUGCAAGCGUUAAUCGGAAUUACUGGGCGUAAAGCGUGCGCAGGCGGUCUGUUAAGACCGAUGUGAAAUCCCCGGGCUUAACCUGGGAACUGCAUUGGUGACUGGCAGGCUAGAGUAUGGCAGAGGGGGGUAGAAUUCCACGUGUAGCAGUGAAAUGCGUAGAGAUGUGGAGGAAUACCGAUGGCGAAGGCAGCCCCCUGGGCCAAUACUGACGCUCAUGCCACGAAAGCGUGGGGAGCAAACAAGG